rnacentral:rRNA from 1 species
AUAAUGGGUCAGCGACUUAUAUUCUGUAGCAAGGUUAACCGAAUAGGGGAGCCGAAGGGAAACCGAGUCUUAACUGGGCGUUAAGUUGCAGGGUAUAGACCCGAAACCCGGUGAUCUAGCCAUGGGCAGGUUGAAGGUUGGGUAACACUAACUGGAGGACCGAACCGACUAAUGUUGAAAAAUUAGCGGAUGACUUGUGGCUGGGGGUGAAAGGCCAAUCAAACCGGGAGAUAGCUGGUUCUCCCCGAAAGCUAUUUAGGUAGCGCCUCGUGAAUUCAUCUCCGGGGGUAGAGCACUGUUUCGGCAAGGGGGUCAUCCCGACUUACCAACCCGAUGCAAACUGCGAAUACCGGAGAAUGUUAUCACGGGAGACACACGGCGGGUGCUAACGUCCGUCGUGAAGAGGGAAACAACCCAGACCGCCAGCUAAGGUCCCAAAGUCAUGGUUAAGUGGGAAACGAUGUGGGAAGGCCCAGACAGCCAGGAUGUUGGCUUAGAAGCAGCCAUCAUUUAAAGAAAGCGUAAUAGCUCACUGGUCGAGUCGGCCUGCGCGGAAGAUGUAACGGGGCUAAACCAUGCACCGAAGCUGCGGCAGCGACGCUGAUGCGUUGUUGGGUAGGGGAGCGUUCUGUAAGCCUGCGAAGGUGUGCUGUGAGGCAUGCUGGAGGUAUCAGAAGU